rnacentral:rRNA from 1 species
UACGUAGGGUGCGAGCGUUAAUCGGAAUUACUGGGCGUAAAGCGUGCGCAGGCGGUUCGUUGUGUCUGAUGUGAAAGCCCCGGGCUCAACCUGGGAAUGGCAUUGGAAACUGGCGAGCUGGAGUGUGGCAGAGGGGGGUGGAAUUCCGCGUGUAGCAGUGAAAUGCGUAGAGAUGCGGAGGAACACCGAUGGCGAAGGCAGCCCCCUGGGCAAACACUGACGCUCAGGCACGAAAGCGUGGGGAGCAAACAGG